rnacentral:lncRNA from 1 species
AUUGGUGAGAAAGAUAGUGAGAUCCAAGAGCAUUUCUGGGGCUCCAUUCUUCUCAUUUGAAUUCACAUAAUUUGCAAUACAACCAAUCACUGUUGCACCUUAUUGAAUUCAUUCUUUAAUUAGAUAAAAUUCAUUGUAUCUCUUACUACUAAACUGGAAUUUUGUGGCAAGCUACACUUCUACAAUGUAAUUUAUACAACUCAACUGUAACUACGUAUUAAGAUAGCUCCAUUCUUCUCAUUUGAAUCCACAUAAUUUGCAAUACAACCAAUCACUGUUGCACCUUAUUGAAUUCAUUCUUUAAUUAGAUAAAAUUCAUUGUAUCUCUUACUACUAAACUGGAAUUUUGUGGCAAGCUACACUUCUACAAUGUAAUUUAUACAACUCAACUGUAACUACGUAUUAAGAUCAAUGCACAAA